rnacentral:lncRNA from 1 species
UUGAGAUAGUAACUUUACUUCACUUUCCAGAUUACUUGCAUCUGAGUUCUUUCUUAAAUUUUUGCUGACUUCGAGCUCAUCAUAAAUAUUUGUUUUUACCACAGGGACGGAUUACAAUAAGCGUUGAUAGAGUGAUGAUGAUCGUUUUCGUCCACAGAAUUGGAGACUUUCUUUACCAAUGAACAUAAAACUCUACUGACAUUGAGGUGGAAUUGGAAAAGUAGAUUAUUGUUCUCUAAAUACAUUAAACAAUGGUCUUUUCCUCCUAACAACUUAAUCCCUCUAUCUAGUACGGGAAAAACAAAAUCUAGAACCAAAUGGUCUAAAUUUUGAACUCAUAUGCCAAACGCCUAAAGUCUAUUCUAUUUUUGAUCUUAAGCCCGUACCACAUAAAUAUCAAAUUUUGAUCCGGAAUAUUCCUGCAAAAAAAAAAAACAACACCAAUAUUUAUUCUAAACAAAGUUAUAUCCCCUUUCUCUUUCCGAAAGUCAAUAAACCAGAUACAAAAUUUUGUUGGUAUAUCUUUUCUAUUUUCAACAAUCAGUAUAGCUUAAUGCAUCUACAGGUUUAUUUUUCUUGUAACAAAAAAAGUCUAAAGGAGCAAGGUAAAUAAGUAGAAUUUUUGUUUCUUUCCUAACUUGCUAAGUGAAU